rnacentral:rRNA from 1 species
AUGCCGGACGGAAUGCUCGGCGAGACGGCGCUCACCGUCCUUCUAGUGCUCGCCGGCCUCGCGACCGGGACCAGGCCGCCGCCACCGCCGGUGUCGGAGGACACGCUGGAGAAGGUCGCCGGCUCGCUGGAAAUGUACGUCGACAGGCUCCCCCAGAUGCCCAAGAUACACGGCUACUCCAUGGAACGCGGCCGCGCCACGCCGGUGCACCUCGCCGUCGGCAUGUACCGCAAGAAAUGGAAAUUCCACCGCGACCUGCCGGCGACCACCGUGUUCGCGUUCGGAGAGUCUGCGAAGAGCGCCACAUUCCCCGGGCCGACCAUCGAGGCCCUGCAAGGGGUCCCUCUGUCGGUGACGUGGGAGAACCACCUGCCGGAGCAACACAUCCUCCCGUGGGACCCCACCGUGCCCGUCGCCAUCCCCAGGCACGGCGGCGUCCCGACCGUCGUCCACCUCCACGGCGGCGUGCACCCGCCGCAGUCCGACGGCAGCGCCUUCGCCUGGUUCACCGCCGGCUUUCGCGAGACCGGCGCCAAGUGGACUACGCCGACGUACGUGUACCCGAACGUUCAGUCCCCCGGUGUCCUCUGGUACCACGACCACGCUCUCGGCCUCACGCGCGCCAACCUCCUCGCCGGCCUCCUCGGCGCCUACGUCAUCCGUAAUCCGGCGGUCGAGUGGCCACUCGGCCUCCCCAGCGGCGACGAGUUCGACCGCGUGCUCGUGCUCGCCGACCGCAGCUUCUACGCCGACGGUUCCCUCUACAUGAACUCCACCGGGGACAACCCGCGCGUCCACCCGCAGUGGCAGCCCGAGUACUUCGGCGACGCCGUCACCGUCAACGGCAAGGUGUGGCCGUUCCUUCCCGUCGCCCGCCGUCGCUACCGCUUCCGCGUCAUCAACGCCAGCAACGCGCGCUACUUCAACCUCUCGCUGAGCAACGGCCUCCCCUUCCACGUCGUCGGCUCCGACACCAGCUACCUGCCCCGGCCGGUCGCCGCCACCCACGUCCUUGUCGGCGUGUCCGAGUCGUUCGACGUCGUCGUCGACUUCUCCGACGACGAGUCCAACACGCCCGAGGUGGAGCUAGUGAACACGGCGCCGUACCCGUUCCCCAACGGCAACGCGCCGGGCCGCCUCUCCAGCAAGGUGAUGAAGUUCGUCGUCGAGCCAGCGAAGACAAGGGACCACUCCAGGGUGCCGGCGAGGCUGCUGGAGUACGUCAAGGUCGCCGAGGAAGAGGCGGCGCGGAAGCGGUACAUCGUGUUGUACGAGUACGACGACGAUGGAGCGACGGGCGGCCCGACGCACCUAUACAUCAACGGGAAGCGCCUGGAGGACCCGGCGACGGAGACGCCGCGCGUGGGCGCGACGGAGGUGUGGGAGGUGGUCAACCUGACGCCGGACGACCACCCGCUCCACCUCCACCUGGCCACGUUCCAGGCGGUGCGCGCCCGGGGGCUUGUCGGGCUGGACGAGUUGAGGCGUUGCAUGGCCAGGCACAACGACGCAGACUGGUGCAACGUGAGCCGGCACGCGGCCGGGGACGUGGUGGGCGUGCCGGAGCACGAGAGGACAUGGAAGAACGUGGGGAAGAUGGCGCCGGGAUAUCUGACGACGGUGGUCGUCAAGUUCUUGAUGGUGGAGACCGGCGAGGCCUACCCCUUCGACGCCACGGCCGAGCCCGGCUACGUCUAUCACUGUCACAUUUUGGAUCAUGAGGACAAUGCCAUGAUUCGCCCACUAAAGCUGAUCAGAUAA